UUGAGAUAAAUAUUAAAAAAGAGAGAUAUUUAUUAAAAGUAAAAUAAGAAUUUAAGAUUAUUUAAAAAUAAUAUAGUUAAUUUAAAUUAUCAUUUAAACAAAAAUGUUUUUAUUUUAAAAAUUGAUAAUAAUAAAAUAGUAUUAAUUAAUAAAAAUAUUUCUUGUUAUCACUAAUCAGUUGCUUUAUUACAUUUACUAAUUGUCUGACUUUUCUUAUGUCUGUCUUUUUAGUUUUUGGCUGAUUUAAAUAGUGCAUUAAAAUGGUUCGUCUGAGAAAAAGUUAUAGCACAAGUAUUUUUAUACUUUUGUUCAACAGGUAGUCAAUGUCUGACUUAUUUUUGGCUGGUAUCAACAGAGCAUUCAUUUAAAUGAGCAUUUUGUCUGGAAAAAUUUUUUAACUAUUUAAUCUCAAUAAUUUUGUUAUUGAGAAAGUUGUAACAACUUCCUCAUUUUUGUUUGGUAUAAAAAGAGCAAUUUUUAAUAUCCACCCAUUAUAAAAGUCAUUUAAAAAGUUUAAGAUGGAUAAAAAUUUUUUUGCUAUUGUUGCAUUUGUUGAUGAAAAUGAUGACGUUGCAGUUGUACCAGGUUCAUGGCUGAUUGGUAAGGACAUGUGUUAUUGGCCUCCUUAUACAUGCCAGCAAAGAAAUAAUAAAGCUGUCAAAGAUGAAGAAACCCCAACGGAAAAUUGGAGAAAGCAUUUAGUCAGAAUUUUAGGGGUGAAAGAUUCUUACGAAAAGGCUAGAUCUUACCUUUCUAAAGCUACUCUAACAUCAGAUCUGCAGAGUGAUGCUGAAAGUCAAACAUUGAGACACAAACGAAUACAGAAGUAUCCUGCUGAAAUUUUUGAUAGUGACUCUCAAGAAUAUAAUGAGCAACCACAAUCAAAAAAAUCUUGUCUCCUAACACCUGUCUCUAUAGUCAAUAGAGAAUGGAACACAUUUGAAAAAAGUGAUCAAACAGCAAAAAAGAUAUUUUCUCCUUCUCGUGCACCAACACCUCCUCCAUUUCUCGACACCAAUCCAAGGAGCACACUAAUAAAACCAGUUGUUUCAAAAGGUGGUCUGUCAACUAGCUAGAUUCAAACUUGUUCCUCAAAUGACACUAGUAAUAUUGCUAAUAGAGAACAGCUCAUCGAAUCUGAGCUUGCUCAUCCAGAAGCUGUUUCAUUAGUUUCAUCAAGUACUGCCUUCUUAUCAAUGAGUGCCACUUUGAAUAAGAUUAUUACACUUCAGGUAGAACUUAAAUCUGCUAUGAAUAAUCUGCAGAAGCAAAUAAAUAACAACACUGCCAUGUUGCAGUCUCUUACACAGGGUGGGAGAGAUGAUGAUGACAGUAUAUUUGAUUCUCUUGAUUUACCAGUUUGUGACAUAGAACAAUUGCAGCAACUUGAGAAUGCACUAAAGCAGGAUAAAAUUGUUUUUGUUAAGCUUGUAAAAGGAGUAGCAGCAAAAGGUGGGCAAAAUCUGAAGGAAGCCACUAAGAGAAUGAUGUCAUCUGUAAUAAACGAUGAAGUUGCAAAAAAAUUAAAUUGGACAGGACUAGGUGAACUUGAUAAAAAAUCUUUCCGAACUCUUAAAUCUCGUCAAGUUAUUGAAAUAGCAAUACGAAGAAAUUUGUCAACCAAAGAUGUUACAGAUAGUGACAUUCAAAAAGCAAUUGUUGCUUUUUUGUCUGGAGCUAACGACAGAAAUGGAGGCAGAAAGGAAAGAGCUGAAAGAAAGUCUAUUCAGAAAUCCAGUUCGACAGAAAGUCGUGGUAGUUCUAGCCAUACUAGUCAAUCAUAGACUUCAAAACCGCGAUUAUCAUUACCACGGUUUGAAGGCUCUAUUUCUGACAAAUCUGACAACAAUUAAUGUCCUUAGAGUCUUACAUGAUCCGCUUCAUUACUUAUGUUGAACACUUUAUUGAUUGUCUAUAUAUUAGCUUUUUUAGAAACAAAACUGUUUAAUUUUUUUUAACGCUGAUAUGUUUUUUUGUUUAAAUAUAUUACUUGAUAUUUGACAUUGUUUUAAGUAU